rnacentral:rRNA from 1 species
ACGGAGGGUGCAAGCGUUAUUCGGAUUUAUUGGGCGUAAAGGGCGCGUAGGCGGCUUUUUAAGUCAGAUGUGAAAUCCCGGGGCUUAACCUCGGUAGUGCAUUUGAAACUGGGAAGCUUGAGUAUGGGUGAGGGAAAUGGAAUUCCUGGUGUAGCGGUGAAAUGCGUAGAUAUCAGGAGGAACACCGGUGGCGAAAGCGGUUUCCCGGACCAAUACUGACGCUGAUGCGCGAAGGCGCGGGGAUCAAACAG